rnacentral:rRNA from 1 species
UGGUACUAAGCCAUGUGAGUCGUUGCAGCAAUGCAAGGCAGACGGCUCAGUAACACGUAGUCAACCUAACCUAUGGACGGGGAUAACCUCGGGAAACUGAGAAUAAUACCCGAUAGAUCAUAAUUCCUGGAAUGGUUUAUGGUUCAAAUGAUUUAUCGCCGUAGGAUGGGACUGCGGCCUAUCAGCUUGUUGGUGAGGUAAUGGCCCACCAAGGCUAUAACAGGUACGGGCUCUGAGAGGAGAAGCCCGGAGAUGGGUACUGAGACACGGACCCAGGCCCUAUGGGGCGCAGCAGGCGAGAAACCUUAGCAAUGUGCGAAAGCACGACUAGGGUUAAUCCGAGUGAUUUCUGCUGAAGAAAUCUUUUGUCAGUUCUAAAACUACUAAUGAUUAAGGGGUGGGCAAGUCUGGUGUCAGCCGCCGCGGUAAUACCAGCACCUCGAGUGGUCAGGAGGUUUAUUGGGCCUAAAGCAUCCGUAGCCGGCUGUUCAAGUUUCCGGUUAAAUCCACACGCUUAACGUAUGGGCUGCCGGAAAUACUGUUCAGCUAGGGAGUGGGAGAGGUAGACGGUACUCGAUAGGUAGGGGUAAAAUCCUUUGAUCUAUUGAUGACCACCUGUGGCGAAGGCGGUCUACCAGAACACGUUCGACGGUGAGGGAUGAAAGCUGGGGGAGCAAACCGGAUUAGAUACCCGGGUAGUCCCAGCUGUAAACGAUGCAGACUCGGUGAUGCAUUGGCUUAUGGCCAGUGCAGUGCCGCAGGGGAGCCGUUAAGUUUGCCGNCCUGGGAAGUACGUACGCAAGUAU